GGAGGAGGAGUAGCGAGUAGGGUAGCUGCGUAGUUGAUUACCCGCUUGAGAGAAUGGCUGAAUAAACCUUUUGAAACUACACCUCUCUGUUGACUGCACUCCUUCGUUUUCCGAGGACGCCCAAAGACUGCAGGUGCAGAACUGGAAAGACAAGAUCCUGUGCUAUAAAGGAAAUUCCUCAACAGAAGCUUUGAUAGCUAUUUUGCCUCAGUUUAAACACUUUCAAUGAUAAUGAUGGGAUAUGCUCAACAUCCUCUUCCAGCACUGAUCAGCACCUAAAUUAACUGAGGCCUAUGAUAAAAGAACAGGCAAUUGGGGUUAGGUGACUUGCCCAGGAUCACACAGCUGGGAAAAUACCAAGUGGAUGAAGAAUGCCUAUAUGCAGUUAAAUGGACGACCUAAAGAGCUCAUCCUUCAGUCGAUAUAUCUUGGACAAACAUCUUUAAUGGGCCUUGAGCUGGACCUAGAAUUGAAUAUGAGGAGGAGGGUAGACUGUAUUGAAUUUGGGAAACCAUUCAGUACUUUAAAUGAUGCAAAUGAAUCAAAGGUCCAUUGUUUUAACAAUAAUAUUCUUCUAGUAUGGUGGAAUUUUACAGUCUCUGAUUUAAGUGUUCUGUCACUCAGAAGGCAAUGGAAAAGCAUGUGAUGGGUGUGAGUAGGAUAGAAUAUAGUAGGACAGGCAAGUAGUACGGAUUUAUAGCAUUACUCUGCAAUAGAAAAGAACUUUGGGCUGCUAGAGAGUAAAAUAGUCAACUCUUCUGGUAAGUCUUAUCUCCCAGGGAUUUAUACAGUCUUUAUAGACCAACUAAUACUACUGUGUUAAGUACUAUUUCACUUAGGAGAAAGUACUUGGGGUCAACUUACUCUCCUGAACCUACUCAACUCACAUAACUGGGUAUUAUUAAAGUACCAAUUCUGAGUUUGUGCCUCCACAUUAGGUUCUGUCCCUUGCUGUUCCUUGGCUUAUUUCCUUCUUGGUCCAGGAACUCUUCCUCUUGCUCCAGGACUUCUCCAUUGGAUCAAGAAGUUGAGUGCAGAAUCUUCUACACUGGAUCCAGAAUGUAUAGAGACUUUCUUUGCAUCCCCAGUGCUUAGUACAGUGCCUGAUACCUGGUAGUGCUUGCUCAUUGAUUUGGGGCCAUCACCAGUUGUCUUGCCACUGGUAUCCAAUGACUCUGGAGGAGAGAGUGAGGCUGGUGACUUUGCACAGCUCUGCCUCACUUAGAUCCAGUUCACUUGAAAGUUAAGAUAUCGCCUUUAUGAUGCAAUUGGUCCUCUUUGAGAACAAAGGACAUCACACAAAUCUGUGAGGAGGAGUAGCUGCUCCAUGGUGACCCAACUGGAAAAUUUGAGUUGGUCAAUGCUGCUCUUAUUUCUUCUUCUUCUUUCCUUCUUCUCUUCCUUCUCUUCCAUCUCCUCUUCCUCCUCUUUCAUCUUCUCCUCCUUCUCCCUCUGCUCAUGUCGGGAGUCAUACCCUUACA